rnacentral:rRNA from 1 species
UAGCGUAGGGGGCUAGCGUUGUCCGGAUUUAUUGGGCGUAAAGAGCGUGUAGGCGGCCAGGUAGGUCUGCUGUGAAAACUCGAGGCUCAACCUCGAGACGUCGGCGGAAACCAUCUGGCUAGAGUCCGGAAGAGGAGAGUGGAAUUCCUGGUGUAGCGGUGAAAUGCGCAGAUAUCAGGAGAACACCCGGUGGCGAAGGCGGCCUC